rnacentral:snoRNA from 1 species
ACCUCAUGAUUUGGGCAUUGCAUUAAUUUAUCAUUGAAACUUUGCCAAACUUCAUACAAUGGUUCACUACUAAGUUAGCAAAAAUUUGUGAUCUCAUCCCUUAGCU